UUAGGCACAGAUUUAAAGCACGCUUUUCUGGGGGGGUCCAAAAGGAGAAUGGAUAAAAAGUAGUGUGAGGUGAUCGGGGGUUUGGAGGGAAGGGGCCUCCCUUAAACGAUAAAAGGUACUCCGGGGAUACUGGCUGAUCCCACCAAGAGGUUCAAUUGAAGGGCGGUGUUGGCACUUCGAUGUCAGCUCUUCCUUCCUGGGGCCGAAGAGGUCCCAAAGGGAUGGUUGUUCCCAAUUAAAAUGGUACCCGAGCUGGGGUUAAAAUUUGGGAAACAGUUCGGUCCCUCUCUGCCGUGGGCGUAGGAUGAUUGAUUGGGGCUGCUCCUAGUACGAAGAGGACCGGAGUGGACGCAUCACUGGUGUUCCGGUUGUCUCGCCAGAGGCAUUGCUGGGUAGCUAAAUGCGGAAGAGAUAAGUGCUGAAAGCAUCUAAGCACGAAACUUGCCAAGAGAUGAGUCAUCCCUGACUUUAAGUCAGUAAGGGUUGUUGUAGACUACGACGUAGAUAGGUCAGGUGUGUAAGUGUAGUGAUACAUUGAGCUAACAGAUACUAAUUGCCCGAGAGGCUUAACU
rnacentral:rRNA from 1 species